rnacentral:rRNA from 1 species
CUGCGGAGGAUCAUUACCGAGUGAGGGCCCUCUGGGUCCAACCUCCCACCCGUGUUUAUUUUACCUUGUUGCUUCGGCGGGCCCGCCUUAACUGGCCGCCGGGGGGCUUACGCCCCCGGGCCCGCGCCCGCCGAAGACACCCUCGAACUCUGUCUGAAGAUUGAAGUCUGAGUGAAAAUAUAAAUUAUUUAAAACUUUCAACAACGGAUCUCUUGGUUCCGGCAUCGAUGAAGAACGCAGCGAAAUGCGAUACGUAAUGUGAAUUGCAAAUUCAGUGAAUCAUCGAGUCUUUGAACGCACAUUGCGCCCCCUGGUAUUCCGGGGGGCAUGCCUGUCCGAGCGUCAUUGCUGCCCUCAAGCCCGGCUUGUGUGUUGGGCCCCGUCCCCCGAUCUCCGGGGGACGGGCCCGAAAGGCAGCGGCGGCACCGCGUCCGGUCCUCGAGCGUAUGGGGCUUUGUCACCCGCUCUGUAGGCCCGGCCGGCGCUUGCCGAUCAACCCAAAUUUUUAUCCAGGUUGACCUCGGAUCAGGUAGGGAUACCCGCUGAACUUAAGCAUAUCAAU